CACUUCUCAAGAGGCAUUAGUGGGAUAAAAAGCAGACACUUUGCCAGUGUCCCUUUUCUCCACCCUCGAGUUUCAUGGGCACCCAUAAUUGCUGGUUUGGAGGCAAUGUUCUUGUCAUUGAAAGCUGAGAAUUUGCCCCACUCAUGUCCCUGAUUCCUUUAGCUUUUUACCUGUGGCCUUCCUAGUGGUAGCCUCCUCUCCCUGGAUCUAGCUUCAGCCCAGGCUGAUGGAGCCAGCAUCCACCUGGCCAAGAGAGAGGAGAGGGAUGCGUGUGUGUGUGUGUGUGUGUGUGUNNNNNNNNNNGUGUGUGUGUGUGUGCAUGUGUGUGCAUGUGUGUGUGUGUGUGUGCGUGCAUGUGCAUGUGUGUGCUGAUUGGUGGGACACAGUGGGCAGCAUUUUCCUCACCAUGUACUGCAAUCUUCCUAUUCCAUGGCCAGAAUUGGCUGAUCAUCAGUCCCAAAGCUGACCAGGCCGAGACCAAGAUGCCCACAGCACUUAGAGAUAAAAAAUGGAGCAAAUGCCACCCCCUUUAAGUGGAAAUCAUGCAAGUCAAUGGCCUAGCACUGUGCCUGGCCCAGGGAGGCCUCCAACCGUGGUAGUUUUAUUUUUGCUGGGAGGAAGAGCACUCAGCAGAGUGUUCUUUUCACUUGCUUCCAGUCUCCCUCCCACAUGCCCUGCUGGCCCUGGGGUGGGGUGCAGCGGUAGGGAAGAAAGAGCGAGCCCCAAGAGUCCUCAGGACAGACAUCUAUUCUGCAGCCACAUGCCCCUCCCUGAAGAUAACCCACUUGAGCUCUUUUUACUAAACACCAUUGGCUCCCGUCCUCCCCCUGGCCUCCAAAUCGACUUUGGUCUGAUCAGGGUGAUGGAGAACUUUUUCUGAGGCUGGGUCUCUUGGGGACCAUGUCUGGUGGUUCAUCACUAUCCCAGGGAAGGUAGGGGUGGGGGUGGAAGAUGACGUCGAAUCAGUGAGAAAGGUCUGAGAGUGAGCAGGACCCGUUAGGCCAUCACAGGUGGGACAGCUCCCCCAAGGAGGAGGAAAACCAAGGCUUUCUAUGGUUGCCUAUCAGCGGAGAAGUGGGGCCAGCACUCUGCAGAGGACCUCCAAAAUCCUAGAACAUCAGGUCGAAAAGGUUUUAGGGCCAUCUCAGCAUACCCCCUUGCUUUGUGGAAGAGGAUGCUGAGGCAAUCUGAAAUGAUCAAACACCCUGCGUGAGUAUCCAAGAGUGGGGGCAGUGUUGAGAUGGCAAAGGAGGGGACGCAAGAGCUAUGGGUGCUGUGGCCUCUGACCUGGAGGCAAUCUUAUUCCAGCUGAAGGGGCCCUGGUGCCUCAACAUGCAAGACCCACCUUCAGUUUUGGCAUAAGUGGGUGAAUCCCUGCUUCUGGCCAGUUGGGGUGACCCUUUCUGGAUCCCAGUGACAUCUUUCAUCACCCAGAAAGGCCACACGGAUGAAGGAGGGCAUGCUGGGAGGAGUCAGAUGUCUGGGCUUCAGCCCUGCAUGAUGCAGGGAGCACUCCCCCUUUCUUUUUUUUAUUAUUAUUAUUGUUUAUUAUACUUUUAAGUUCUAGGAUACAUGUGCAGACUGUGCAGCUUUGUUACACAGGUAUACACGUGCCAUUGUGGUUUGCUGCACCCAUCAACCCAUCAUCUACAUUAGGUAUUUCUCCUAAUGCUAUCCCUCCCCUGGCUUCCUACCCCCCGACAGGCCCUGGUGUGUGUUGUUCCCCUCCCUGUGUUCAUGUGUUCUCACUGUUCAACUCCCACUUAUGAGUGAGGACAUGCGGUGUUUGGUUUCCUGUUCCUGUGUGAGUUUGCUGAGAAUGAUGGUUUCCAGCUUCAUCCAUGUCCCUGCAAACAACAUGAACUCAUUUUUUUUAUGGCUGUGUAGUAUUCCAUGGUGUAUAUGUGCCACAUUUUCUUUACCCAGUCUAUCAUUGAUGGGCAUUUGGGUUGGUUCCAAGUCUUUGCUAUUGUGAACAGGGCUGCAAUAAGCAUACGUGUGCAUGUGUCUUUAUAGUAGAAACACUCCCCCUUUCUAAACCAGGUUCCUCCUGGACCCACUUUCCUAACCCAGCGUGUGGCUGAUGAGAAUUUGCUGGGAGGCUAGUCACGCAAUAGCUUUGUAGACUGUGAAGUGCCGCACAGGUAGGAGGGACUGUCGUGGCCAGCCCGGAUAGCCAACCCAGACGUCGAGAGGAGGACUUAAUCAGACAUUCAUUUGCCAGCCCAGAGUGAUCUUCUGGCUUUUACUUCCCUCUUUUCUUUUCUUUUUUUCUGUUAAUAGUUUUUUAUUUAUUUUAUUUAUUUGUUUUUUAUUAUUAUACUUUAAGUUCUAGGGUACAUGUGCACAAUGUGCAGGUUUGUUACAUAUGUAUACAUGUGCCAUGUUGGUUUGCCGCACCCUUGCCUCCCUCUUUUCUACCUUCCUUGUGGCUUAACUCCAAACUCUGCCCCACCAGGGAAUGGGACAAGGGAAGGAGCUUAAUCUUCCCCAUAAUAUGCCUCUGAGAUAGGUAUCAGCAUACCCAUGUUACAGAUAAAUAAACCGAGGCCAAGAGAGAUUAAAUAACCCUACCCUACGGCUGCUGAGAGGCAGCACUAGGAUAUGAACCCAAGUCACUCUGACUCUAGAUACAUCCGAAUCCCAAGGUGGGAGGUAAUAGUACACGUGGGCGGAUCACCUGAGGUCAAGAGUUCAAGACCAGCCUGGCCAAUAUGGUGAAACCCUGUCUCUACUAAAAAUACAAAAGCUUAGCCAGGCAUGGUGGCGGGCACCUGAAAUCCUAGCUACUUGGGAGGCUGAGGCAUGAGAAUCACUUGAACCUGGGAGGUGGAGGUUGCAGUGAGCCCAGAUUGUGCCACUGCACUCCAGCCGGGGCAACAGAG
rnacentral:lncRNA from 1 species